rfam:Cyphomyrmex costatus contig16547, whole genome shotgun sequence.
CAAACGGCCCUUUUCAGGGCCACCACAAAGUACCAAAGUUCACCA